GCCUAAGUGAGGAGAAAAGCUCACGGGGUGGAAACAAGGAAACACGCCGAGUGAGUUUUUUAAA
rnacentral:sRNA from 10 species